UAGGGAAUUUUUCACAAUGAGCGAAAGCUUGAUGGAGCAAUGCCGCGUGAACGAUGAAGGUCUUUAAGAUUGUAAAGUUCUUUUAUUUGGGAAGAAUGACUUUAGCAGGCAAUGGCUAGAGUUUGACUGUACCAUUUUGAAUAAGUGACGACUAACUAUGUGCCAGCAGUCGCGGUAAUACAUAGGUCGCAAGCGUUAUCCGGAUUUAUUGGGCGUAAAGCAAGCGCAGGCGGAUUGAAAAGUCUGGUGUUAAAGGCAGCUGCUUAACAGUUGUAUGCAUUGGAAACUAUUAAUCUAGAGUGUGGUAGGGAGUUUUGGAAUUUCAUGUGGAGCGGUGAAAUGCGUAGAUAUAUGAAGGAACACCAGUGGCGAAGGCGAAAACUUAGGCCAUUACUGACGCUUAGGCUUGAAAGUGUGGGGAGCAAAUAGGAUUAGAUACCCUAGUAGUCCACACCGUAACGAUAGAUACUAGCUGUCGGGGCGAUCCCCUCGGUAGUGAAGUUAACACAUUAAGUAUCUCGCCUGGGUAGUACAUUCGCAAGAAU
rnacentral:rRNA from 1 species